rnacentral:rRNA from 1 species
GGCGGCAUGCUUAACACAUGCAAGUCGCACGGACCCUUCGGGGUUAGUGGCGCACGGGUGAGUAACACGUANGAAUCUGUCUUGAGGUGGGGGAUAACUCCGGGAAACUGGAGCUAAUACCGCAUGAUAACUGAGGUUCAAAGGUCGCAAGACCGCCUUGAGAGGGGCCUGCGUUCGAUUAGUUAGUUGGUGGGGUAAUGGCCUACCAAGACGAUGAUCGAUAGCUGGUUUGAGAGGAUGAUCAGCCACACUGGGNCUGAGACACGGCCCAGACUCCUACGGGAGGCAGCAGUGGGGAAUAUUGGACAAUGGGGGCAACCCUGAUCCAGCAAUGCCGCGUGUGUGAAGAAGGUCUUCGGAUUGUAAAACACUUUCGUUGGGGACGAUGAUGACGGUACCCAAAGAAGAAGCCCCGGCUAACUUCGUGCCAGCAGCCGCGGUAAUACGAAGGGGGCGAGCGUUGCUCGGAAUAACUGGGCGUAAAGGGCGCGUAGGCGGCCGAUAGCUGUCAGAUGUGAAAUUUUUGGGCUCAACCCGAAAACUGCAUUUGAUACGUAUUGGCUAGAGUGCGAGAGAGGAUUGCGGAAUUCCCAGUGUAGAGGUGAAAUUCGUAGAUAUUGGGAAGAACACCAGUUGCGAANGCGGCAAUCUGGCUCGUUACUGACGCUGANGCGCGAAAGCGUGGGGAGCAAACAGGAUUAGAUACCCNGG